CAGGUCCAGGCUGAAACACUCCCUGUGGCUUCAGCGUGAAUUGGGGGGUGAAACCACUGCAGACUGAAUAGGAUGCUAUAUCCCAGGCCGGGGAUGAUGGAUAUGCUCGUUAAAACAUGGGAAUCAUCUGAGGGAAGGAAACCAAUAGCAACAUGGUAUCACAUUAUAGAUAGUAGUGUGUAUGUGAAAGCUCUCUUAUUCAUUUGAUUUUGAUACUCCCAAAUUGCCUCAUGGGUCAGCAAUGAAGACUCCUUUUUUAUUGAUUCCAACUUAUAGCAUGGCCUACAUGACUGCAGUAAAUAUGAAAUUAAAUUUGUCCUCACUC